GAGCGCGCCACCUGCGGUUGGCCGCAGCUGCCAAUCAGGGGGUUCUGACGGAGUGGACCAGCUGGGUCCGCCCCUGGAGGGGGGUCGGGGGUCUGCAGGCCCCCAUCCAGUGGGGGGACUAGAGUGACUAGCUAAUUUGAUAAACUCAUUCUCAAUAAAUCAGCAGAGGAGGAUCUGCGGUGGGAACUGUGCGGACCCGUUUGCACAGCGGCGGCGGCAGACCCUACAGCUCUGCGGACCCCAUCUCCCAGAGCCCGAGACCUCAGCCUGGCUGUUCAGGGAACCUUUGGGCAGCUGUUCUGGGGCCCUAGGCCGCUUAUUCCUGCGCUAAGGGACAAAUCUAUGGAUUGAACGUACCCAAGCAGCUGAUUUGGAAAAGGAUUUCAUGUUGGUAACCAGUAAUUUCCUAUAUAAAGAGUGUCAAGAGGAUGUAACUUGUUCCUUCUAGCAGAAAUGACAUGCUGGUCAUUGAAUAAGGAUCUCAUAUUCAGAGAACUGACAUCUACAUUAGUAAUUUUCUUUUUUAUUUGGAUUUUUCUGAUGUCUUUUUAAUUUCUCUUACCAAUUGAUUCAUAUACCUCAUAACUCAGCCAUGCAUCCCUAAGUGAUCCAUGUUUUUCAAUUACUCUUUUAAUGGGGAAAUGUAAAAAUAUUAUUAUUUUAAAUUGCAAAGUUUAAAUUCCUUUUGAGAAGAAUUUUAGGUAAAGAAACAUGAUACCUCUCCAAAUCCAGAAACUGAACUGCUUGGAGAAGACACCACAAAGAUGCCUCUAGACCACAAGCUGCACGAGAAGAUCAAGAAUGAACUUUGGGUGUGGUUGAUUGAACAUUUAUUUGUAUCUAUACUUUCAUGCCAAAGGCGACUGCUCCCUAACUGUCUUUUUGUCAAUGCAUCCAGCAAUUAUUGUUUUGUUUUUUUUCCCCUCUUAUCCUCAAAUUAUUGUAAUCUUUAAGUUGAAGAUGUUUUCAUGAUCCUUUGGGAAAAAACCUUUUCCCCAGAGGAUCAUACGAAGAAACGUAAAAAUGGAGAUUUGAACCCUGGACUUCAAUUCCCAGGAGUCCUUGGUAGCUCCCAGAGUUCCCCAUAAUCUCAGGCGAGGAGAGAGGGGUUUUUAAAAUGGACUCCGCCUUCUUCUCUCUCUUUCUCUUCCUUCUUGCGCUUCCAAGCACACAUCUCUCUCUGGGCUUCCGCGUCUGGGCACAUGCGGCUCUACCAGGCAGGAUGUAGAGUGAGUAACUGUGAAUGGGCUCUCUGGGCCUAGACAUGUGCUUUCUUAUUUUGUAUUUUCUUUAUAUUUUUAAUCUUUAAUAAACCUCAUAAAAUUAUAAUACUUGUAGCAGAGAAACUAAAUUUUAACUGCUACAAUUAUUAAUUAUUGAUGGUCUAAAAACUGGAUUCAAAUGGAACCCUAUGUCCCCUUUCCUACCUCUAUGUCACCACUACUACAGAAAAGAAGGGGGAUACAUAGAACCAGUGCCAUUUUGUACUUUUCUUUGGUCAUGGUUUGUCAUUCAAAGCUUACUGGGAAUGAAAUUCCUCUGUACUUAGUAGGGUUGGUCCUUAGAAAGUAGAUACAGUCCAUUGUUAGAAUCACACUCAAGGCCUUUCUUACAUGGCAGAACCUGCUAGAGCUUGUACCCUGCUGGCAUAGCCUAUUAGAAUGUAUGGUCACCCAUCUUCCAUUAUGAUGAAUUGGAGGACUAGGUGAAGAAAAUAAAGCCCGUGCACUAAUAAUGAUGAUAAUACAUAGAUAACAUUUAUAGAGAACCUACUAUGUGUGAGGUACAGUGCUAAGCAUUUUAUAAAUAUCAUAUCAUUUCAUCCUCACAUUGACUCUGGGAGGUUGAUGUUAUAUUAUUAAUCCUCAUUUUACAGAAAAGGAAAUGGAGGCAGACAAGGAUUAAAUUAUUUGCUCAGAUUUACAAAGCUAGGAAGCAACUGAGGCUGAAUUUGAAUCAGGUCUUCUUUACUCCAAGCCUAGCACUCUUGUCCACUGAGCUACCUAGUUUCCCCAAAUGUUUUAAGUAUAUCCAAAUAAUGGCAAAACUCUAGACUUUUGGCACAUUGAAUGGACCCUGUAUAAAGUAUUUAAGGGAAGACAUAAAGGCAAAAUUCCCAAAGCUUAGCACAUAGUAAUCAUUUAACAAAUACCAGUUAAUAUGAGAUAAGAAGAUCUAGAUGGGUUAUAAUAUAUGAGGUUAAAAAGAGGAUCAACACUGUUGAGAUCAUAGCUCUAUGGAAGCAUUAUAAAGGGAGACAUUAUGCUGAAUAUCCCUCACCAGUCUCAGCUCCUUCUAAGCUUUAGAGAGAUUAAGCUGAUUCUUCUAGGACUAUGUCAUGCAUCUGAAUUCAUCCUUGGUCUCCUGCUCUUACUUUCACUUCCCAUACUUAUCCUUUUAAAAAACUGGUUGGCUGGUGAGCUCCUGGUGCAUCCACAUCAGUCUCUUUAGAUAGCUUUCCUUUGAACAGCUCUCCAAGAUACCCAUCAUUUCCUCCCCAGCAAUCAAUUUCUCCUAAUUACUAAGAAUAAAAUCCAAAACAAAAAUUCCUCUAGGCACUUCCUCUGUCUUUCGAAGGAUGGAUGACAUUAUCAGGAAGGCAUUCUUAGUUACUCUCUUUUUGUCUGAUAGAAAAAGAGAGCCAACCUAUAGUUGAAUAACCUAAGGUCCUAUUCAUUAUGCCAGAUGUGUUUCCCAAACUUUCUUCUCUUUUUGCCUUCUUUCUUUGUGCUCUGGAAGAAAUACAAACGACAGUAUUCCUUUAGUUUGUCCUUUCAUUGAUCUUUGCCCUAAUGAUUGCUUCCUGGAUAUCCUCAAAUGAAUUGAAUCUUCUUAAUAAAUAGUGUUUUCUCUUUCCCUUUUCAUCCAUCCUGCUCAUUUUAGAUAAAUUAUACCCUUCCAGAAUGAUAUUCUCACCCAGGGUAUCAUCCCACCAAAUCUUAGUGAGAACUAUGAAGCUGAAUUUUUCUCUGGAGGUUAGUAUCUAUUUUCUUUUGAAAGUUUUGUUGAGGCCCCAAUAAUUGCUAUCACUUUCCAACUGCAUACACACCAAUAGUGCACUCACUUGUGAUAGACUAGAAAAGAUAGAUAGAAUGCUUAUUAAACACAUAUUAUGUGCCAGACACUGGGGCAAAUACUAGGGAUACAAGUACAAGUAAACAAGAUAGUUCCUGCCUUCAGAGAGCUUAUAUUCUAGUGCAGGAAGAUAGUAGAUAAAGGGGGAUUAGAAGGAAGAGGUGACUACACUGCAGCAUGAUUUGGAGCUAGUGAGAGUACAGCCAGACAAGCUAAAUCAACACAAUUGCCAUGUCAGGAAACAUACGCCACAUCCCGUACCUAUUGUCUGCCAUCUUUCUGCUAAGAGGCAUGAAGGAUAUUUUAAGGAAGAGAGAAACUUGGGUAAGUCUAUAGGUGGCAAGGAAAACACCAAUAUAAUGGAGAGGUUGAUGAUGGGAGAAAAGGGGGGAGGUAUGAUUAAUAGGACAAACUCAUGAAGGAUAUAGAAGGGAAUGAGAUUAAGGGUCCAAGUAGAAUCCAUGAAGUUUUCUGAAGUCAUGAUUGGUCAUUCACAGUAGUCUUUAUUUCAUUUUGCUGGUUACUGCUAGUUUACUCAUUUGUGUAUAAACAUUUAAGGUCAUUCAAUUUUGUUCACCUGGCUUCUUUGGGGAGUUUUAUUGGAUCUACCACAAAAUUUGUUUUAUCUAAUUUCAACUAGGUUUUCAUUGCUAUGUGGCAAUUCUGCUUAUCCUCCCAUGAUCCUCCAUCCAUGUUUCCUCAUCUGCAGCUGCUCUAAUACUUCUCUUACAGGCUCCCUAUAUAAUUCCAAUCCCUCUUAAAAUAUUUGGCUUCACUUACUGUGCUAAGAAAAGCAAGAUCCCACCUGUGAUGGGCUCCCUCAUCUCCCCUACCCCAUACCUCUCUUUUGCAUGAACAAUCUUCAAGGAGAGUACCCUUUUUUGUCAAGGCCAGCAACUGUCCUUGGGCACUCAACCCCAUACAUUUCUGUAUCUUUCUAGGACUUUUCCCCAGGAAUAAUAACAAUAAUGGCUAGUGUCUAUAUAAUACAACUCUGAGAAGUGUUAUUAUUAUCCUAAUUUUACAGAUGAGGAAACUAAGGCAGAGAGUAAUUAAGUGACUUGCUCAGGGACACACAGCUAAUAAGGUCAGAUCUGAACAGAGGUCACUGUCUUAAUUUUCAAACUUCCAAAGCUCUCUUCUUUACCGCCCACUCACUUCUUGGUGGUGGUGGUGUUUUUCAUCUACAGUUCCUCUAUGUAUCCCCUAUAAACUUCCUUUCCCAUCAUCAAAUCUUGCCACCAUGGAACAAAGAAAUGCAACGAAACAAAAUCAAUCAGCAAAGCCACUACAUAUGACCCUAGAUGCAACAUUUCACAUCAGUAAUAGCCUACCUCUCUGCCAAGAGGAGGAGAGAUGUGUUUAUCCUCUCUUCUCUAGAACCAAGAUUAGUUAUUGCAAUUCACCUGCUUUUUAGAGUUGUUUUCAUUUGCUUUACUGGAGUCACUGGGUAUGUUGCUCCCGUGGGUCUGCUUUCAUUGCUCUGUACCACUUCAUAUAAGUCUUCCCAUGUUUCGAAGAAUUCCCCAUAGUAAUUGUUUCUUAUGGCAUCGUAUUAUUCCAUUCCUUUCCAUCAGCCAGUCAAAAAACAUUAAGUGCUUAUUGUGUUCUACGUCUGCUAAAUGUAACACAAUCUGUUUAGCCAUUCCCUAAUAAUGGACACCCACCUUGUUCCCAAUUUUUUGUCACCUCAGAGUGGUGCAUAUGGGACCCUUCUUUCUGCUUUUGACUUCCUUGGGGGAUAUGGGCAGCCAUGGAAUUGGUGGCUCAAAAGUUUUAGUUGCAUAAUUCCAGGUUAUUUUCCAGAAUGGAUGUACUACUUUACUGAGCCCACCCACUCAUUUCCCAUCCACCUAAUGAUCAGGCUUCCCAGCCUCCACUUUUCUGGUCUGAAAGGAUCUUGGAAUAAAAGGAGACCUGACAGGUUACUGAUAGACCAUCUAUCUAGUCUAACUAUGACUUUCUAAAGUCUUUACUGAUGGUCUCCUAAACACCAAAUCUAGUGGCUUUUUCUCAGUCCUCAUCCUCUUUGUUAUUCAGUUGUAUCCGACUCUUUGUGACCCCAAUUGGAGUUUUUUUGGCAAAGAGAUUGGAGUGAUUAGCCAUUUCCUUCUCUGGCUCAUUUUACAGAUGAGGAAACUGAGACAAAUAGGACCAAGUGACUUGCUCAGGGUCACAGAACUAGUGUCUGAGGUCAUAUCUGAAGAUGUGUCUUGACUCUAAGCUCAGCACUCUAUCCACUAUGCCACCUAGCCGCCCAUCCUCCAUUACCUCUCAAACUUUUGAGACUAUUUACCAUUGCCUGCUCCUGAAUACACUCUCUUCACUUGAAUUCUAGUUCAUUGCCUUCUCCUCAUUCUCCUCCUUGACUUUGACUCUUCAGUCUCCUUAUGUUGAAUCAUCAUCCCUUCAUUAUUCCCUAAGUAUGGGUGUCCCCCAAAGCUCAUCCUGGCCCCCUACUCUUCCCCCUUUACAUAUACGCUCUAUAUACUUUUAUAUUAUCCUUCGAGAUCAGAUGGAGAGAUACAGGCUAAGUAAUGGUAUUAUUCGUUUUAUUCAGGACUAGUGAAUGACUAGACCCAGAGAGCAUGGUUCCAUGCCAAUGUUGAAGAAGGUCUCUAGUGUUUACUCUCCCUGGGCUCUUAUUAUUUUUGUUAAUGACUGGAAUAUCCUUUAGCACAUACUUUAUCAUUGUCCAUUUGAUAACUGGAAGAAGUUCUAGAAUAUAUAGGGCACCCAACAGGCCAACAGGCCUACCCACAAACUAAUUCUCAGAAAAAAGACCCAUUGUAGUUCUUCAGGCUUUCAAGGCAUUUCAGCUGAUCCUUAAGUUUUCUACUCAAAGAAGACUUCUUGUCACCUCCUAGAAGUCCCUCGGGUUUUCAUUUGGCAUAAGACACAUUUGUUGGCUUAAAGAAAUCAUUUAACUCAGCCGACAUCUUAAUUUUCCUAGAUCCUCAGAAACAACUCAUUGUAAAGACCAAUGUUUCAUGUCCACUUGGGGCUAUCUUCUCACCUGGCUUUCCUCGAUAUCUUGGCUUCAUGUACUUUUCUCUCAGGUCGACUGCCAGAAUGGUCAUGAUGUCAGAGAGUAACUAAUUCCAAGAGGUAAAACUUCAUAUAAGGAAUGGAGGCUCCAUCUUGAAGAAGUACAGAAUCUCCUUGUUCCAUACUACCACCUAGAAUUUUCUGGCAACUCAAUCAGUGCCCUGUGGUGCCAGGGCAGUAUCAUCACAGAUCUGUCCCUUUCCAGAGAUAUGAUGCUAUUUAGGCAAUGGUAGAGGGCUGAUCAAGACAAUGCCCUUCCUCUCCUAGGCUGGAACAAUCUAGCACAAAUUUAGAGAUAAAGAUGCCCCACACAUACAAAUACACACUAUUGCUGAGAUUUAUUCCUAGAAAGAAAGCUUUGGGUUUCAUACUCUCCCCCCCACAUCCCCCACCAGCACCUCAGUUUGGUCUCAUUUUUGGACUGUGCUGUGGGUAGUCCUCCAGAGAAAGACCCACAUUUCCAUGGAAUAACCAUCCUAAUGUGCAAACAGGGCUUAUGAACCCAACCCCUAAAAAGCAUCUCAGAUCCUGUGCCAACUGCCAUUAAGAUGACUAGAGAUUACUCUCAAUAGAAUGUAAGCUCCUUGAGAACAGAGACUAUUUUGUGCUUGUCUAGAUUUUUUUCAGCAGCAAUUACAGUCCGUAUUCAAGUAAAGACUUGUUGAAUUGAAUAUAAGUGAGAUUCUAUCCUGUCUUCAACUCUUGCUUGGCUUCCCACGGUCUUUAAAAGGAAACUCAAACAUCAGAACCUAUUAUGUGAAUCUCCCAAAACAUCCAAAAUGGUAGCAGGUUCUAUCACAAAAAUGAAAAGGAAAUCAUUUCCACUUCUGUACCUUUGCUAAUAUCAUCUCUCAUGCCUGGAGCACCAUCUUAGCCCAUUUAUAUACUGAUUGAUUUAGUCACCAAUUUACUUAUUUACUCCACAAAAAGCUUGCUUUGUACCUGAAGCUCUGCCUGAUUUCAACACCACAGAAAAAGAUGCUUGUACCAGGAUAAGCUCAUCACUUCCAAUCUCACCACCAAGCUGUUAAAUCAAGCCCUGAUAGACAGGGCUUCCUUCAACUUCCUCUUCCCUCUUUUUGGAGGGAUUGAGUGCCAAACUCCUCCCAACGCCUUCCUUUGUAAAGAGGAAAAACUUGACUGACUCGUAGCUCACUCUUCUUUGCAUCUGCUGCUCAGUCAACACCACUGAACAAAUGCUCCAUCUCUCCCUCCAUUCACCUGCUUUCAUGCCUCCUUUUGUGUGUUGUCUCCCCCUUUAGAUUGUAAGCUCCUUUAGGGCAGGGGCUGUCUUUAUGUUUAGUAAUUGUAUCCCCAGCACUUAGCAUGUGCCUGGUAUAUAGUAGGCACUUAAUAAAUGAUUAUUGGAUCUAUUGGA